rnacentral:rRNA from 1 species
CCCUAUGGGGCGCAGCAGGCGAGAAAACUUUGCAAUGUGCGAAAGCACGACAAGGUUAAUCCGAGUGGUUUCUGCUAAAGAAACCUUUUGCUAGUCCUAGAAACACUAGUGAAUAAGGGGUGGGCAAGUUCUGGUGUCAGCCGCCGCGGUAAAACCAGCACCUCAAGUGGUCAGGAUGAUUAUUGGGCCUAAAGCAUCCGUAGCUCGUUUUGUAAGUUUUCGGUUAAAUCCAUACGCUUAACGUAUGGGCUGCCGGGAAUACUGCAUAACUAGGAAGUGGGAGAGGUAGACGGUACUCGGUAGGAAGGGGUAAAAUCCUUUGAUCUAUUGAUGACCACCUGUGGCGAAGGCGGUCUACCAGAACACGUUCGWCGGUGAGGGAUGAAAGCUGGGGGAGCAAACCGGAUUAGAUACCCGGGUAGUCCCAGCUGUAAACUAUGCAAACUCAGUGAUGCAUUGGCUUGUGGCCAAUGCAGUGCUGCAGGGAAGCCGUUAAGUUUGCCGCCUGGGAAGUACGUACGCAAGUAUGAAACUUAA